AAUGUUGUAAAAAUGUAACUACCGAGCGGAAUAGUAGACAAGGCUGCAAAUUAACAAAGAGUUCUAAAUAAAAUAAUUUAUUAUGCAGGAAUAUUAAUUUCAAUUCUUCAAAGUCAAUAUAUAAUUCACACAAUUUAAACCAAGUCAAAGAACCUGCAUAAUGUCAGUGUUUAGACAAAAAUAACAAAUAGCAAUAAAUAUACGUUUCAAUAAUAAAAUGAACAAUUCCAAACUUAGGCCAGGGUUGGGCUAAAAUAGUUUCACGGCAAAAACGCCACCGUCAAAUACAAUGUGUAACGGAAUUCACCGUCUCUUUACACAAUUAAUACCUGAAGAUGUGUAAAUAAAUGCUAAAAUAGCUUAACUUUACUUCUUAAAUCAAUUCACAAUGCCAAACGUGAAAUAAAUAGGUUAGGAGAACGAAAAGCAUCCGAUCUCUGGGACAGUUAAAUUUCAACUUACCAAGUUGUUUACGUUUGUAACCAAGAUGUCAUAUCACGGACUAUUUCCCGUAAUUACUUACAUUUCGCGGAUCUCGUAUACGCGAUCGUUACACUGACAAAUAUGCAUGACCAUUAAUUAUAUACAAUAAAUAGUUUUAUUCCAUAAUAACAAUAUUUCAAUAAGCACACCCGGAAUUAAAUCCCGUAUUUCAGAAAUAACUUCUUUGUUGUGAAAAGAACGACAACUCUUGCACUAAACAUGGAACUACGGUUUGGCGGAAAAUGUGUCAACACAGUAAACUCUACAAAAAACGUUGAUUAAUAAAUUAAACAAGACUAAAAUGUGCUUUACCAGGUCUGUCAUACCUUUACACAAAUUGGGCAAACAGAAAUAAUACUUAAGGGAUGAGAUUUCAUGAGAAAUCAUUAUUAAAUAUCGAGGUUUAACCAAAUACCAUUUCAGUUUCACAACACAUGUAU
rnacentral:lncRNA from 1 species